AUUUUCUCCUGUCUCCUCCGAAUAGUCUAUUUUCUCAAAUGUCAUAUAUGGUGAGGUGUUGGCAAGGAGAUCCUGGCUUUGCCGAUGAAGCUUAGUUGUGUCAUUUUAUUCCUUUCCUUGAAAGGAGUCAAAGCUGCUCACCAGUUCUGCAAUUCAUACUUUCUGAGCUGUCCAGUUAUGUUUAUGAUGAGGGAAAUGAGGGUGCAGUUUGGAACUCUGCUAGCAGAUUUGGGCUUAUCACUUUUCACAAGAAUUACCAGGU